UUAGAUAUACAAAUGAUUGCGGGCGACAUUGUCGCGUGAGGAAAGUCCGAGCAUCAUAGAGUAGGAUGGUAGUUAACGGCUACUGGGGGCGACCCUAAGGAAAGUGCAACAGAAAAGAAACAGCAUUGGUUAAUUCUAAUGCGAUAGGUGGAAUAAUAGUGUAAGAUACUAUUAAUUACAUGGGUGACUAUGUGAUUGUGUAAACCCCAUCCGAUGCAAGGUUAAGAGGCUUAACUGUUACUCGCAGGCUUCUUGUUUACACCGCUUGAAAUUGUUGGUGACAACAGUGCUAGAUAGAUAAUCAUUUAUAACAGAACUCGGCUUAUGUGUAUUCUAAUGUA
rnacentral:RNase_P_RNA from 1 species